rnacentral:misc_RNA from 1 species
CUGUGCUUCUGCGCAGCCAACCGUCGUGGGGCUGUCUUUUCACUGUUCCUCCCGAUGCGUUUUUUUGGGCGGGGGAGGGAUCGCUUGCUGUCGGUGGUCUGUGUGGUUCUACCCUCGUGCGGAACAAAAGUUGGUUUAAUAAUAGGCUUUUGCUUGCGCCGUCGGCACGUGCUGUCGUCGGCGCGGCUGUUUUGUUGGCAUAAUGCUUGUGCGGCCGUGGGCGUAUGAAUGGCUUCGGUACUGCACACGUGUUUUGUCGGCUCUCACGGAUGCGAUGCACAUUGAGGAAUCCACGCGUCUUCGGUCGCUGGAUUACUUCGGGGAUGUCCCUUGCACGGAUCGUCGCUCCGUUGCUUUGCUUCGGGGCGCGCUCCUGUGCCAGCGAGACGGUUGCCCGGUUGAAAGAGCGAUUGCCCGGUCUCGUCGGGUGAAGGCGCUCCCGUCGAGGGCGCGCCGGAAGCGACUUGUCGGCUCUC